rnacentral:lncRNA from 10 species
CAGGCAUGAGCCACUGCACCUAGCCCUUUUUUUUUUCUUUUUUUUCUUUUGAGACAGAGUCUUGCUCUGUAGCCCAGGCUAGAGUGCAGUGGCGCCAUCUUGACUCACUGCAGCCUCUGCCUCCGGGGAUCAAUCAAGUCAUUCUUCUGCGUCAGCCUCCUGAGUAGCUGGGAUUACUGGCAUGUGCCACCACGCCCUGCUAAUUUUUGUAUCUUUAGUAGACAGGAGGUUUCACCAUGUUGGCCAGGCUGGUCUCAAACUCCUGACCUCAAGUGAUCCACCUGCCUCAGCCUUCCUAAGUACUGGGAUUACAUGACUGAGCCACUGUGCCCGACUUGUUUUUGUAAACUAUUAAUAAUGUUGUUGUAAACAUUCUUAUUCAGGUUUUUGUGUGAACGUACGAUUUCACUUGUCUAAGGAGUGAAAUGGUGGUAUCAUAUGGAGGUUUAUGUUUAACUUUGUAAGAACAACUAUUUUUCCAAAUUGGUUAUACCAUAUUGCAUUCUUACCAGCAGAUUCCAGAUGAUCCCCAUCCUGACAGGACUUGGUAUUAUCAGUUGUUUUGUUAAUAAAGUCAUUCUAUUAGCUGGGUAAUAGUUAUCUUAUUAUGGUUUUUGUUAUCUCAGUGUGGUUUUAAUCUGCAUCACCCUAAUGACUAAUGAUAAUGGGCAUCUUUUCAUGUGUUUGGUUGCCAUCUGGAUAUCUUUGUGCCUGUUCAAAUAUUUGCCCUCUUUUCUUAAAAAAAGUUGGGUUGUCUGUUUAGUUACUUUUAAGUUUUGAGAGUUCUUUAUAUAUUUUGGGUAUAAACCCUGCGUCAAAUAUCUGGUUUGCAAAUACUUCCCCCCCAAACUAGUCUUUUUUACUUAUCUUCUCAAAUAUCAGCUAGUUAAAGAAAUAUAUCAUUCCCCUGCUCAAACAAUUUGCCAUACCCUUUCACUAAAUUAUCUGGCCUAGCAUUAUAAAAAGCACUUUGAAGGAAAUAAAUACAGUGACAUGAUAAAGAUAGAGUUAUCAGGAAAGAGUCUCUGAGGUGAUAUUUAAACUAAGGUCCAAAUGAUAAGAAGCCAGACAGAAGAAUAUCCAGCGAGAGAGAAGAGCAAAGCAAAAGCGCUAGGGUGGGAAAAAUGUUGGCAAAUUCAAGGACAAGAAGGUAGAACAUCCUGGCUGGAGCUCAGUCAUGGGGGCAGAAUGAGAUAGGAGAUGAGGACAAAGAAGCAGAGGCAGACAGCAAACCAUUUAAGGUCACAUAGGCCUUGGAGGGAUUUGGAGGUGAGACACCAAUGAAGAGUUUUAUGCAGAGAGUAAUUUGACCCUGCUUAACUUUAAGAAAAUUUAUCUGGCUGCCACAUAAAUACUUUACUGGAAGACCAAGCAAGAAGACCAGUUAGAAGGCUCCCACAGUCUGGGCAAGAAAUGGUGUUGGUGUCAACUACAGUGGUGUUAGUGCAGAUUGCAGUAGAUGGAUUUAAGGUAUAUUUUAGAGUUAAAACCAAUAUGACUCUCCAAAGGACUGAAAUGUGAAGAGUUAAUUUUUUUUUUUUUAAAGGCAGGAUCAAGGAUGAGUCCUAAGCUUGGGGACUAAAAAAUAGGAUGGAUAAUAGUGACAUUUAGUGGGAUGGAGAAUAACUGAUUGGAGGAGUGAAAAAUCAAGACUUCCAUUUGGGAAGCUUGAGAUGCCUAAGAGAUAGUACAAUAGAGAUUUUAAGACAAUGGCUAGAACACAAGGGAGAGAGGCCUGGCCAGAGAGAUUAAAUUUGAGAGCUAGGAGCAUAUACAUGUAUAAGAAAGGAGAGUAUAAGUAGAGAAAAUAGGGAGUUCAGGAUGAAUCUCUUAAGCACUCCAACAUCAUACUGAAAUUAUCAGUUUACAUGUCUCUCCCCCAACUGGUCUGUUAGUUCUUCGGAUCCACAGAUCAUGUCUUUUUCAUAUCUGUAAUUAACAAAUCGUAUUGCCUGAUACUUAAUAAGUGCUUACUAAGUGUUGCGGAACUCACACAGGCAUGAUAUGUAAGGGAAGAUGAUAUCAUCAUGUAUGUGGCGUAUAAGGAUUGCUGAAGACAAACAACCCUAAGGAGACUGUAGUCCCAGAGAGCAAGCUUUACGCGCCAGAUUUUGCCAUAUCCAUGAUGGGCAACUAGUCUCUCAAGCAAAAAGGAGCCCUUCAAAACAGCAGAUUAUUGUUUCCUAUAACACGAUUGGAAAAAAACAAAACAGAUUAAAAUAUUUGUUUGCAAGUAAAAGAAAUCACUUUUCACCUAGAAUUAUUCUGAGGGUUCUCUUUUCUACUAAUUUUAAAUUCCUACCUGCAAAAUGAGUUCUUUCAUUAGAGUUUACAAGCUAAUAUGUCAGAUAACCAGGGUAAAUUGAGACUGAAUAUUUUCUAUUUGAUAAUCUGAGUAUGAACAACUCCUCAUGUUCCUAAAAACGCAAAAGGACCCAGUAGUCCCUGCACUGCUGCCCUACAUUCCUUCCACAUUUGAUUUGUCCUCCCAAAAGACUCAGGAAAUAGCCUUCCCUAAAAGGCUUAGAAAAUAGCCUAAACAAAAGCUCAGGAUAAUCCUAUCAUGAUAUAAGAUUCCCCUCCUCAACAGUCUAGCUUUAUUGGAAGGAAAAAUGUAACAUCAUAACUCAGCAAAAACUAGAAUAGACAGAUCCCUAACAGGAAGAACUAACCAAAGAUACCUGACAUCAUUCUAGCAGUUUUCAAAAUAUACUGUGAGUUUUCACUGUAGCAACAUAUUUCUACACAAACAACACACACAAAAUCUCACUUUGUGGUCAGAAGCAAGGUCAUCUGGAUUAUUUGAAAAAUGGCAAAUGGCAAAGUACCACUUAUAUGAAUAAUGGUAAAUUGAAGAAUAUAUUGAUUCUGUUUCCCCCCUCCUUAUAACAAAUGAGAAUACACAAAAAAUUUAAGUAUGACAAAAAAAGGCCAUUUUAUGAGCAUCUUUGCCAGUUGAAUACUUUAAUUAUAUGACAUCAAAUGUUCUAUUAAAGGUAUUAUUUCAAAGAUGCCAGGCAAAGCGUAAUUCAUGCUAUAUAAAAGUCUGACCAUGCUUUUAUUUUUUAUUUAUUUUUAUUUUUUGGAGACAGAGUCUCACUCUGUUGCCC